GCAUAGCACAGCAAAAGAGAGCAAAGCAAAAGAAGGCAAAGAAUGACAAAAAGCAACCUUGCAGGAAUGGAGGAAUCUGCCAGAGCUGUGCCCCUGCUUGCCACAGGAGCUGCGCGGGAGGAGAAGAACGUGGGCCAAAAGGUAAGAGGAGCUCCUUUGGGUUCUGGGCUUGAAGCAAAGCUGAGAAGCCAUGCCCGGGAGGAGGUGUGGGUAGCUACAGGCCACCUUGCUAUCUCCCCAAGAGAUGAGGUGCGUGGGCUAGGCACCGGGCAGGAGUGCUGGCCAGAAGCAAGCAUCUCUGUGGAGGAAGGCAAAGGGCGGAGGAGGUUCAAGGGUAGCUACCGGGCAUGGCCUUGCUCAGCAAGGGGAGGAAAAGCCUGAAGGGCACGAGAAGGGGAUAGAGAAGGGCAGGCAGUAGGCGUGAAGCUGCGAGCAGAGUAGAGAGCAACUUGGCAGAGCAGCAAGCAGAGUAGGCAAGUGUUGAGGUUUGGCGUGAGUAGCAGCAAAAGCCCAGAGCAUCAAGAAGCAGGAAGUGAGGAGAAGGUAAGUGAAGGGCAGGCAAGGUAAUGGGAGGCAAGUGUUGAGGUUUGGCGUGAGUAGCAGCAAAAGCCCAGAGCAUCAAGAAGCAGGAAGUGAGGAGAAGGG
ensembl:lncRNA